rnacentral:rRNA from 1 species
CGGGUGAGUAACACGUGGAUAACCUACCUAUAAGACUGGGAUAACUUCGGGAAACCGGAGCUAAUACCGGAUAAUAUAUUGAACCGCAUGGCUCAAUAGUGAAAGACGGUUUUGCUGUCACUUAUAGAUGGAUCCGCGCCGCAUUAGCUAGUUGGUAAGGUAACGGCUUACCAAGGCAACGAUGCGUAGCCGACCUGAGAGGGUGAUCGGCCACACUGGAACUGAGACACGGUCCAG